rnacentral:lncRNA from 1 species
ACAUCUCAAAGGCUCAAACCUAGUUGGGGAAGAAAGGAGAAGAUCUGGUGAGGAAACUGUUAUCAACUUUGCGGGGAAUUUUAGAUCAAUACCAUAUCAAAUGAUAGACAACCCUACAGGGGAUAAACACAAAUAACUGCUUAGAAAAAGGGAGUAACCCUGUCUGGGAGGAUAAUCACAAACUCAGUUGAAGAAGAUGAACAACUCGGCUGGGGAAAU